rnacentral:rRNA from 1 species
UACGAAGGGGGCUAGCGUUUGUUCGGAAUUACUGGGCGUAAAAGCGCACGUAGGCGGACUAUUAAGUCAGGGGUGAAAUCCCGGGGUCAACCCCGGAACUGCCUUUGAUACUGGUAGUCUCGAGUCCGGAAGAGGUGAGUGGAAUUCCGAGUGUAGAGGUGAAAUUCGUAGAUAUUCGGAGGAACACCAGUGGCGAAGGGCGGCUCACUGGUCCGGUACUGACGCUGAGGUGCGAAAAGCGUGGGGGAGCAA